UACAGAGGGUGCAAGCGUUAAUCGGAAUUACUAGGCGUAAAGCGUGCGUAGUCGGUUAUUUAAGUCGGGCGUGAAAGCCCCGGGCUCAACCUGGGAAUUGCGUUCGAUACUGGAUAGCUAGAGUUCGGCAGAGGGAAGCGGAAUUUCGGGUGUAGCGGUGAAAUGCGUAGAUAUCCGAAGGAACAUCAGUGGCGAAAGCGGCUUCCUGGACCAGAACUGACGAUCAGGCACGAAAGCGUGGGGAGCAAACAGG
rnacentral:rRNA from 1 species